UACGUAUUAGCUGCUAUUACAGUGGAACUGCGAAUAGCUCAUUAUAACAGUUAUAAUUUACACGACGUCAGCAACCAUAUGGAUAUCCUUGGUAAUUCUGGUGCUAAUACACGCCUGUUCUUUCCAGAACAGCUGCCAGAAAACUUCAACACUCUCUGUGUUCACAUGCAGUGUGAUGAUCAAACUGGCUCAGCCAAUCGCUCUUAGCGACAUGUCGUUCAAGUUUCUGACCUAUCAGCUCCCAUUAGUAAGGUAUUGGCUUACUCAGGCUGUGACGGGUAACGGGGAAUUGGGGUUCGAUUCCGGAGAGGGAGCCUUAGAAAUAGCUACCACAUCUAAGGAUGGCAGCAGGCGCGCAAAUUACCCAAUCCCGACUCGGGGAGGUAGUGACAAGAAAUAGCAACACGAGACCAUUGGUUUCGUGAUUGCAAUGAGUUAGAAACAAAUCAGCUAACGAGUAUCUAUUGGAGGGCAAGUCUGGUGCCAGCAGCCGCGGUAAUUCCAGCUCCAAGAGCAUAUAUUAAAAUUGUUGCAGUUAAAGCGUCCGUAGUUGAAACUAGUCCACGAGCCGUUGUACUGGAUUACCAGUUCACUGCUUUCGGACAUGAGAUGAGCAGUCAAAUGCUCCUUCUCGUUACCUUGAGUAAAUUGGAGUGUUCCAAUCAGAUUUCUGUCUGAACAGCUCAGCAUGGGAUAACCUAACACGACUUUGGUUGCAAAAUUGAGUUGCUGUAACCGAAAGUAAUAAUAUCAAGGGAUAUACGGAGGCAUUUGUACUUGCUGGAGAGAGGUGAAAUUCUGAGACCCUGCAAAGACAAACAAGUGCGAAAGCAUUUGCCUAGUGUAUGCCCUCUAAUCAAGGACGAAAGUUGGGGGAUCGAAGACGAUUAGAUACCGUCGUAGUCCCAACCAUAAACGAUGCCGACUGAGGAUCAGAGGCAGUUAAUUCACGUACGCCUUUGGCACUCAAAGAGAAAUCUAAGUCUUUGGGCCCUGGGGGGAGUAUGGUCGCAAGUCUGAAACUUAAAGGAAUUGACGGAAGGGCACCACCAGGAGUGGAGCUUGCGGCUUAAUUUGACUCAACGCGGGAAAUCUCACCAGGCCCGAACAUAAUAAUGAUUGACAGAUUAAGUGUUCUUUCUUGAUUCUAUGGGUGGUGGUGCAUGGCCGUUCUUAGUCGGUGAGGUGACUUGUCUGGUUAAUUCCGAUAACGGACGAGACCUCGACCCACUAAAUAGCCUUGGAGGUAUAUUCUUCAGAAGGCUUCUUAGAGGGACCUUGUGAGUUUAUCACACGGAAGCUCGAGACUAUAACAGGUCUGUGAUGCCCUUAGAUGGCCUGGGCUGCACGUGUGCUACAAUCGCACGGAGAUCAGGUUUAUUCUGCUCUGAAAAGAGUUGAUAAUCAUUUGAAACUGUUUGGUAUCUGGAAUUGACUCUUGUAAUUAUGAGUCAUAAACUAGGAAUUCCUAGUAAGGACAAGUCAUUACCUUGUGCUGAUUAUGUCCCUGCCCUUUGUACACACCGCCCGUCGCUUCAACCGAUUGGAUGAUCCGGCAAAUUGCAUGGACUGAUAUCUUCUGAUAUUUCUAUAUCUCAAGAGGUCGGGAAACGCCACGAGCAGGAUCCUGU
rnacentral:rRNA from 1 species